UACGGAGGAUGCGAGCGUUAAUCGGAAUUACUGGGCGUAAAGCGCGCGUAGGCUGUUGUGUAAGUUGGGGGUGAAAUCCCACGGCUCAACCGUGGAACAGCCCUUGAUACUGCGCGACUUGAAUCCGGGAGAGGGUGGCGGAAUUCCAGGUGUAGGAGUGAAAUCCGUAGAUAUCUGGAGGAACACCAGUGGCGAAAGCGGCUCUCUGGUCUGUAACUGACGCUGAGGUUCGAAAGCGUGGGUAGCAAACAGG
rnacentral:rRNA from 1 species